rnacentral:rRNA from 1 species
UCGAGAAUUUUUCUCAAUGGGCGAAAGCCUGAAGGAGCGACGCCGCGUGGGGGAUGAAUGGCUUCGGCCCGUAAACCCCUGUCAUUUGUGAACAAACCUUUUCACUUAAUACAUGAAAAGCUGAUUGUAGCGGAAGAGGAAGGGACGGCUAACUCUGUGCCAGCAGCCGCGGUAAUACAGAGGUCCCAAGCGUUGUUCGGAUUCACUGGGCGUAAAGGGUGCGUAGGUGGUCGGGUAAGUCUGACGUGAAAUCUCCGGGCCUAACCCGGAAACUGCGUCGGAUACUAUUCGGCUGGAGGGUUGGAGGGGGGACUGGAAUACUUGGUGUAGCAGUGAAAUGCGUAGAUAUCAAGUGGAACACCAGUGGCGAAGGCGAGUCCCUGGACAACUCCUGACACUGAGGCACGAAAGCUAGGGGAGCAAACGGGAUUAGAUACCCGCGUAGUCC